rnacentral:rRNA from 1 species
AUACGGAGGGGGCUAGCGUUGUUCGGAAUUACUGGGCGUAAAGCGCACGUAGGCGGAUUAAAAAGUUAGAGGUGAAAUCCCAGGGCUUAACCCUGGAACUGCCUUUAAAACUAGUAGUCUAGAGUUCGAGAGAGGUGAGUGGAAUUCCAAGUGUAGAGGUGAAAUUCGUAGAUAUUCGGAGGAACACCAGUGGCGAAGGCGGCUCACUGGCUCGAUACUGACGCUGAGGUGCGAAAGCGUGGGGAGCAAACAGGAUUAGAAACCCCAGUAGUCC